GCGCGAUGGUGGGCUCAGACCGGUCGGAAAUCGGUCGUCGAGUGCAAUGGCAUAAGCCUGCCUGACUGCGAGACUGACACGUCGAGCAGAGACGAAAGUCGGCCAUAGUGAUCCGGUGGUCCCGCGUGGAAGGGCCAUCGCUCAAC
rfam:Prosthecomicrobium hirschii strain 16 C1, whole genome shotgun sequence.